rnacentral:rRNA from 1 species
CUGCCCUUGGGAGGGGAACAACAGCUGGAAACGGUUGCUAAUACCCCAUAGAAUUUAGUACCUCUACGAGGUAGGCUGAGGAGCAAAAGGGAGGAAUCCGCCCAAGGAGGGGCUCACGUCUGAUUAGCUAGUUGGUGAGGCAAUGGCUUACCAAGGCUCCGAUCAGUAGUUGGUCUGAGAGGAUGAUCAGCCACACUGGGACUGAGACACGGCCCAGACUCCUACGGGAGGCAGCAGUGAGGAAUUUUCCGCAAUGGGCUUUUUUUCUGACGGAGCAAUGCCGCGUGAAGGAAGAAGGCUCACGGGUCGUAAACUUCUUUUCUCGGAGAAGAAAAAAUGACGGUAUCUGAGGAAUAAGCAUCGGCUAACUCUGUGCCAGCAGCCGCGGUAAAACAGAGGAUGCAAGCGUUAUCCGGAAUUAUUGGGCGUAAAGUGUCUGUA